UGGGGAAUAUUGGACAAUGGGCGAAAGCCUGAUCCAGCCACGCCGCGUGUGUGAAGAAGGUCUUCGGAUUGUAAAGCACUUUAAGUCGGGAGGAAGGGCAGUAAGCGAAUACUUUGCUGUUUUGACGUUACCGACAGAAUAAGCACCGGCUAAUUCUGUGCCAGCAGCCGCGGUAAUACAUAGGGUGCAAGCGUUAAUCGGAAUUACUGGGCGUAAAGCGCGCGUAGGUGGUUCGUUAAGUUGAAUGUGAAAGCCCCGGGCUCAACCUGGGAACUGCGUCCGAAACUGGCGGGCUAGAGUAGGGUAGAGGGUGGUGGAAUUUCCUGUGUAGCGGUGAAAUGCGUAGAUAUAGGAAAGAACACCAGUGGCGAAGGCGACCACCUGGGCUCAUACUGACACUGAGGUGCGAAAGCGUGGGGAGCAAACAGG
rnacentral:rRNA from 1 species